CACGAAUCAGUGCUCGUUCGUCCAAUUCCUGCACCCCUUUGCAAGAGAGAAGUUGUGGUUGUGGCAAACAAGUGAUUCUGUACAAAUCCAAUUCAUAGAAAAAUCCAGGAAGGUUGUUUUGGAGAUGUCCUGAUUGGAAGGAAAAUUGGAGCUGUGGUUUCUUUGAAUGGGAGAAAGUAGAAUGUGAAGCUGAGAAUGAGGAUUCAUCCAAAUUGAAUGUAGAGAUGAAGAUUGUUGAAGAGCUUGAUGACAUGAUGGACAAGAAAUUUGCUAAGCUGAGUGGAGACAUGGAGGAAAUCAUGGUCUGUGUUUUUGGUAAGAUCAUGGAAGACAAGAAUGAAAUGAAAGACAAGAAGAUUGCCAAGUUAAAGUUGAAGCUGAAAAGUGAAGGUUUGAAGAGCAAUGUGCUGUUGGUGUUGUUAGUUUUAGGAUGUGCUGUAGCUUUGUCAAAGUAUUUCUAGGUUUGGUGAUGUAGUUGAAUGAAAUUGAAUCAAAAGUUGGUUUUGUCAUGAAUGCAGUAGUUGUUGGUGUUGUUGAAUGUAAUGCAAAUGUUGUUGAAAAGAUCCUUAUGUAAUGAAUGCUAUAUUCACUUAAUGAAUUGAAUCAGUAUUGGUUGUUGGGAUGAAUCAA